CUACGGGCUCUAGUGACAUAACGCCCCAUAAAGCCCCUAUGUGACGUGGCACGACACGUGUCGCAUAACGCCCACAAAAGGGCUUUAUGACUACACAUGGCCUUAGCGAAUUGCCGGUAAUUUUUUUCUAGCUAGACCGUGAGCCCCUUAGCUACUAUGCCACAUGUUAACAUUUACUAUUAUGUACUGUAUUUAACUUAUAUUUCUUUAUAUGAACCUGAUAGAGGCGAGUUGGGGAUGUAGCCAUGUCAUCAACACCAGUUUAAAACGAUGACAAGGAUAGCGGUCCAGAAUUUUGCAUCGAUACACGAACAUUUGGAAACGUUGGCAUGGUUCCUUUUGGGCUGAUUGUUUGGAUUUUAAAGAUAAAACACAGCUUGAACCAAUGGUCUCCUCUAAAUGCAAGCUCUUAAGAAUCUAAUGGUGUGUGUCGAGGCCUUCCAGGUAACAGGUAGCGAGGUGGUGUAGGUUGAACCCGGUAUUCGCAUCUUGUAGUCUCUCUCAAGCAGUUUGGGACUAUGUAACGAGGCUGAACCCGGUAUUCGCAUUUGGGGCAAAGGACCUGGUGAAUUUACAUCGGGGGUCUCGCAAAUGGAAUAAAAUAGUGUAUAUCAUCCAAACAGAUGGUGAUAAUGUGUUGUAUUAUACAGUUAAUCGAGUGGUGUGUAUGCAUGUUGAUGAGAAACUUCCAGCCCCUACACUUGAAGUAUUAGCGAAAAUAAGUGUGGAAAGUCAGGUCUGUGUUGAUGGUGUUUUGUGAAAUCGAUUGCAGGUUCGUGUUAAUAAUAGGUGGUUGGUUUGAAAUCGGAAUUACCUAAUAGCACAAGUGCUGUUAUAACAUUGGGUAGAACAGAACAGAACAGAACAGAGGUGUAUAGGUUUAUUAGUCAGUUCAAGAAUCUUAUUUAAAAUUAAUUAAUAUUCAGCAAACAUUUUGUCAA